CCCAUAGAUCAGUUGUGCCCCAUAGAGCCCUGGCCCCAUACAUCCUGCCCAUAAGAUUCACUAGUGUGCUCCAAAGAGCCUUGCCCCACUAGAUCAGUGUGCCCCACAGAUCACAUUGUGCCCCAUAGAUCCUGCCCCAUAGAUCACAGUGUGCCCCAUAGAUCACAGUGUGCCCCAUAGAGCCUGCCCCAUAGAUCAGUGUGCCCCAUAGAGCCUGCCCCAUAGAUCACACUGUGCCCCAUAGAGCCUGCCCCAUAGAGCCUGCCCCAUAGAUCACACUGUGCCCCAUAGAGCCUGCCCCAUAGAUCAGUGUGCCCCAUAGAGCCUGCCCCAUAGAUCACACUGUGCCCC
rnacentral:lncRNA from 1 species